AUCGGAAGCAGACGUCGUCGUUUGUUUUCCUUGCCGUUUGAAAGCUCCGGGUAUAUCCUAUCGCUAGCUUCUAAAACUCGGUUCGUCGUUUCCCGCCACCUUACUCGCUGAUAACAGAAGUCACUCUCGUGGGUGGUCACUCAGCUGGCUCGGUGAGUGUUUCUACGUUGAGUGAUAACACAGUGAGUUACAAUUCUCAAAGCAGGAUAUAUCGUCCGUGAUUUCUGAAGACGACACCCAGUCAAACAACAGACGACGACCAAUUGUUCUGGUCCACCCGCCGCGGCUGCCGGAGGAUAAUCUUUUGGGUUUUGCGUUGAAUUCCUCUUGGAUUGAAGGGACGCGAGCGUGCUUUUGGUGGGAAUCCGGUUUGGUGUCACACCCGGUGGGGGUUCCAUUCAUGCCUCGUGAGCUACAAUAUAUGAAUGUGUGGUCGGCCGCCGUAGGAGGAAAAUAAGAAAAAUUGCUUCGUCAACAGAAUCGAGCGGUGGCGCGCAAAAUUACAAAGAAUAACCCAUUGUAUGGCGACCGUGUGAAGUGUUGCUGUGAGUUGAGCUGGAGGAGAAGAAAAGGGGUUCAAAACGUGGCCCAAGAUGUAUGAUGCUUUGUGGCUUAUUUGAGCGAUCGACAACAGCCUAGCAAGUGGGGGUGGUUUUUUUGGAAGUUUAUUUGGUCCUGUCAGUUUUUCUGCGUGACUUCCUCAAGGCGGUUGUCUUAGGGUUGAAUGCUUGCGGCAAAAUUGCCGAGCUGGUGUAUUUCUGAAAGAGAGAAACAGCUAAAAGUGGAAGUCAUUAACUUUGUCCUAGUCGUUGUCUUCGUCGUCUUCGGGAGGGUUUUUGAGUAAGUGCUUAACGUUACAAUAGUGACAGUUGCAGCAGAGCAAAACUAAGCUGAAGGACGAUUUCAUACAGAAAAAGGUGUGAAGUGGCCUAUGUCAAGCGUUCUUCCUUUUAAUGUAUGAAUGUGGUGGGGGUCAUAGAAAAACAGAAGAAGAGGCGCGAAUAUUUCACUUUCACGCCAUCUGAAGCCGCGCUGCCAUGCCAUCCCAUUCAUGUAAUAAAGUGAAAGAGCCGGAAGAAUAAAAGAGCCGUUUUACAGUCGACAAGACGACGAUUUAUGGCUCCGGAAAACCAAGAGGUUCCUAUUAUUGUUGCGACAUAGUUUGUGCUCUUAGGGAUCAAAAAGUGGUACCCUGCUACGGGUAAUAGAAAAUUUUCACACCGCAUUCAGCUGACGCUUUCUUACAAUAACGCGCAAGUGAUAUCGUGCGGCUUAAUGGAUUAAGACUUCUUCAGCAUAGCACUUCAGGCUCCAUAAAUCACUGUGUGAGAUCAAAACUGCUAAGCCGAAUGUAAACUUUCACCGGGAUACAAGAGAAAAGAAACAACUUCUGCACACCGGUUGGUCGAUCGUUGUUGGUGAGACAUCAGUGUGCAGCAUCCGGUCCAGGCAACAUUUCACAUUCACUUCCGGUCUUGGGAGCGGAAUCGGUGGGAGUGAAAGUUUUUUGUUUUUUUUUUUCAAUUUUUAAACCAUCCUCCGGAAAAUUCUGUUUACCUUCAUAUGCAGUAAGGCGUAAGUGAAAUAUGGUUUUAUCCAAAAACCAACCGCUGAGCUCCAGAGUGUGGCUCUGAAAUUGAAAGAAUAGAGCCCCGGAAAGCGGAAGUUUUUCCAACCGGAAGCCACCGAUAACAGUGGGUAGUGUCAUCCUCGUGCCGAUUGAGGUGGGUAACGUGGAAAAUGGGUGCAAAGUGAAGUGAAAAUCCCACCCUCGAAUCCGGUGGUUGUUUCUUGAGGGUUUUUUUUCACAGUCGCUUCAUUUCACGUGUGAGAGAGAAGAAAGUGUGGGUAUCUGCCAUUUGGCCAUUAGUUUGCUUAAGCUGGCUGAUUCUAGGUAUCUCUGCGAGUCUCGUUUAUAUAGUGUUGAUUUGAUUGGAAUUUAACAUUCGAGGAUCGAAAGCAAAUCGAGUUAAGUGAGUUCUUAAAAUAAAGUGUUGAUACAUCAACCCCCUUAAAGUGUAACUGAAACAGCGAAGAAGAAAAAGUUGUUAAACUACACCAGUCUCAUAAAAAGGAAUUUAAAAUGCUGCAAGUAACAUCGGAUAGGAGAGAUCGGAGGAGCAGCUCCAUCGGAUGUCGGUCGAUUAUCGGGCGCAGAACUUCCAUGUACAUCAACCAGACGCAACACGAUCGGGAUCCC